rnacentral:rRNA from 1 species
UACGAAGGGGGCGAGCGUUGUUCGGAUUUACUGGGCGUAAAGGGCGCGCAGGCGGUUCUGUUUGUCGAGUGUGAAAGCCCCGGGCUCAACCUGGGAACUGCGCUCGAAACGGCAGAACUAGAGUUCGGGAGGGGAGAGUGGAAUUCCCAGUGUAGAGGUGAAAUUCGUAGAUAUUGGGAAGAACACCGGUGGCGAAGGCGGCUCUCUGGACCGAUACUGACGCUGAGGCGCGAAAGCGUGGGGAGCAAACAGG